rnacentral:rRNA from 1 species
AACGAACGCUGGCGGCAUGCCUAACACAUGCAAGUCGAACGAGACCUUCGGGUCUAGUGGCGCACGGGUGCGUAACGCGUGGGAACCUGCCCUUAGGUUCGGAAUAACUCCCCGACAGGGGUGCUAAUACCGGAUAAUGUCUUCGGACCCAAGAUUUAUCGCCUUUGGAUGGGCCCGCGUUGGAUUAGCUAGUUGGUAGGGUAAAAGCCUACCAAGGCGACGAUCCAUAGCUGGUCUGAGAGGAUGAUCAGCCACACUGGGACUGAGACACGGCCCAGACUCCUACGGGAGGCAGCAGUGGGGAAUAUUGGACAAUGGGCGAAAGCCUGAUCCAGCAAUGCCGCGUGAGUGAUGAAGGCCUUAGGGUUGUAAAGCUCUUUUACCCGGGAUGAUAAUGACAGUACCGGGAGAAUAAGCUCCGGCUAACUCCGUG